GCAAGUCGAGCGUGAACCCUACGAAUGAAACUUCGGUAGAUUUUGCAGGGGGAAAGCGGCGGACGGGUGAGUAUCGCGUAGGUAACCUGCCCUAUACUGGGGGAUAGCCUCGGGAAACCGGGAUUAAUACCUCAUAAAGCCAUGCUUUUGCAUGAGAGUAUGGCCAAAGAUUUAUCGGUAUAGGAUGGGCCUGCGUCUGAUUAGCUGGUUGGUAGGGUAACGGCCUACCAAGGCAACGAUCAGUAGCCGACCUGAGAGGGUGAUCGGCCACAUUGGAACUGAGACACGGUCCAAACUCCUACGGGAGGCAGCAGUGGGGAAUAUUGCACAAUGGGCGAAAGCCUGAUGCAGCAACGCCGCGUGAACGAAGAAGGCCUUUGGGUCGUAAAGUUCUGUCCAAGAGGAAGAUAAUGACGGUACUCUUGGAGGAAGCCCCGGCUAACUACGUGCCAGCAGCCGCGGUAACACGUAGGGGGCAAGCGUUAUCCGGAAUUAUUGGGCGUAAAGGGUGCGUAGGCGGCUUCUUAAGCGUGGGGUGAAAUGCAAUAGCUCAACUAUUGUAAGCCUUGCGAACUGGGGAGCUUGAGUGCAGGAGAGGAAAGCGGAAUUCCUAGUGUAGCGGUGAAAUGCGUAGAUAUUAGGAGGAACACCAGUGGCGAAGGCGGCUUUCUGGACUGUAACUGACGCUGAGGCACGAAAGCGUGGGUAGCGAACAGGAUUAGAUACCCUGGUAGUCCACGCCGUAAACGAUGAGCACUAGGUGUCGGGGUCGCAAGACUUCGGUGCCGCAGUUAACGCAUUAAGUGCUCCGCCUGGGGAGUACGCACGCAAGUGUAAAACUCAAAGGAAUUGACGGGGACCCGCACAAGCAGCGGAGCAUGUGGUUUAAUUCGAAGCAACGCGAAGAACCUUACCAGGGCUUGACAUCCCUCUGACAGAUCCGUAAUGGGAUCCUCCCUUCGGGGCAGAGGUGACAGGUGGUGCAUGGUUGUCGUCAGCUCGUGUCGUGAGAUGUUGGGUUAAGUCCCGCAACGAGCGCAACCCUUGUCAUUAGUUGCCAUCAGGUUAAGCUGGGCACUCUAGUGAGACUGCCGGGGAUAACUCGGAGGAAGGUGGGGAUGACGUCAAAUCAUCAUGCCCCUUAUGUCCUGGGCUACACACGUGCUACAAUGGCCGGAACAAAGAGCAGCGAACUCGCGAGGGUGAGCGAAACUCAAAAUCCGGUCCCAGUUCGGAUUGCAGGCUGAAACUCGCCUGCAUGAAGUCGGAGUUGCUAGUAAUCGUGAAUCAGAAUGUCACGGUGAAUGCGUUCCCGGGUCUUGUACACACCGCCCGUCACACCACGGAAGUUGGGGGCGCCC
rnacentral:rRNA from 1 species